GAGGGUAUAGCUCAGUAAUAGAGUGCAUGCUUUAGCAUGCAUGCAAUCCUGGGUUCAAUCCCCUGUACCUCCA
rnacentral:tRNA from 1 species